rnacentral:misc_RNA from 1 species
AUGAAGAACGCAGCGAAAUGCGAUAAGUAAUGUGAAUUGCAGAAUUCAGUGAAUCAUCGAAUCUUUGAACGCAUCUUGCGCUCCUUGGUAUUCCGAGGAGCAUGCCUGUUUGAGUGUCAUUUAACUUCUCAACCACAUUGGAUAUUUUUUUUCCGAUGCCGGCUUGGAUGUGGGGGUUGUUUGCAGGCUUUUUGUAACAAAAAAGGUCGGCUCCCCUGAAAUGUAUUAGUGGUAUCUGAGGCUAUUACUAUUAGGUGUGAUAAUUAUCUAGGCCUUUUGGGUAUGCCGCAUGAACAGAUUAUGCUGCUUCUAACGAAAACUAUUUUGAUGAAUUUGACCUCAAAUCAGGUAGGACUACCCGCUGAACUUAAGCAUAUCAAUAAGCGGAGGA